rnacentral:rRNA from 1 species
GAGUUUGAUCCUGGCUCAGGAUGAACGCUAGCGGCAGGCUUAACACAUGCAAGUCGAGGGGUAUAGUUCUUCGGAACUAGAGACCGGCGCACGGGUGCGUAACGCGUAUGCAAUCUACCUUUCACAGAGGGAUAGCCCAGAGAAAUUUGGAUUAAUACCUCAUAGUAUAAUUGAAUGGCAUCAUUUAAUUAUUAAAGUCACAACGGUGAAAGAUGAGCAUGCGUCCCAUUAGCUUGUUGGUAAGGUAACGGUUUACCAAGGCGACGAUGGGUAGGGGUCCUGAGAGGGAGAUCCCCCACACUGGUACUGAGACACGGACCAGACUCCUACGGGAGGCAGCAGUGAGGAAUAUUGGUCAAUGGGCGCAAGCCUGAACCAGCCAUGCCGCGUGCAGGAUGACGGUCCUAUGGAUUGUAAACUGCUUUUGUACAGGAAGAAACACUGGUUCGUGAACCAGCUUGACGGUACUGUAAGAAUAAGGAUCGGCUAACUCCGUGCCAGCAGCCGCGGUAAUACGGAGGAUCCAAGCGUUAUCCGGAAUCAUUGGGUUUAAAGGGUCCGUAGGCGGUCAGAUAAGUCAGUGGUGAAAGCCCAUCGCUCAACGGUGGAACGGCCAUUGAUACUGUCUGACUUGAAUUAUUAGGAAGUAGCUAGAAUAUGUAGUGUAGCGGUGAAAUGCUUAGAGAUUACAUGGAAUACCAAUUGCGAAGGCAGGUUACUACUAAUGGAUUGACGCUGAUGGACGAAAGCGUGGGUAGCGAACAGGAUUAGAUACCCUGGUAGUCCACGCCGUANACGAUGGAUACUAGCUGUUUGGGAGCAUCUCAGUGGCUAAGCGAAAGUGAUAAGUAUCCCACCUGGGGAGUACGUUCGCAAGAAUGAAACUCAAAGGAAAUGACGGGGGGCCCGCACAAGCGGUGGAGCAUGUGGUUUACUUCGAUGAUACGCGAGGAACCUUACCAAGGCUUAAAUGUAGAUUGACCGGUUUGGAAACAGAUCUUUCGCAAGACAAUUUACAAGGUGCUGCAUGGUUGUCGUCAGCUCGUGCCGUGAGGUGUCAGGUUAAGUCCUAUAACGAGCGCAACCCCUGUUGUUAGUUGCCAGCGAGUCAUGUCGGGAACUCUAACGAGACUGCCAGUGCAAACUGUGAGGAAGGUGGGGAUGACGUCAAAUCAUCACGGCCCUUACGCCUUGGGCUACACACGUGCUACAAUGGCCGGUACAGAGAGCAGCCACUGGGUGACCAAGAGCGAAUCUACAAAACCGGUCACAGUUCGGAUCGGAGUCUGCAACUCGACUCCGUGAAGCUGGAAUCGCUAGUAAUCGGAUAUCAGCCAUGAUCCGGUGAAUACGUUCCCGGGCCUUGUACACACCGCCCGUCAAGCCAUGGAAGCUGGGGGUGCCUGAAGUCGGUGACCGCAAGGAGCUGCCUAGGGUAAAACUGGUAACUAGGGCUAAGUCGUAACAAGGUAACC